rnacentral:lncRNA from 1 species
UUUGCUUCAGUUCAAGUCCUCCUUCACUAUAGAUACUCCUUGUGUUAAAUCUCCUAUGAAAACAGCAACAUGGAAAAAUGGGACUGAUUGCUGCUCAUGGCAUGGUGUCACGUGUGACACCGUAUCUGGUCACGUCAUUGGCCUUAACCUUGGCUGUGAAGGCUUUCAAGGUAUACUCCAUCCUAAUAGUACCCUUUUCCAUCUUGCUCACCUUCAAAUGCUCAACCUUUCGAACAAUUAUUUCUCUAACGAUUUCUCUGGCUCCCAUUUUCAUUCUAAGUUUGGCGGGUUUAUGAGUCUUACACAUCUCGACUUGUCUUCUUGUUUCUUUCAAGAUGAAAUUCCUUCUCAAAUCUCGGACCUUUCCAAAUUACAAUCACUUCAUCUUUCUGGGAAUGAUAAGUUAGUUUGGAAAGAGACUACCUUGAAGAGACUUGUGCAAAACGCAACAAGUUUAAGGGAGCUGUUUUUGGAUUAUACAGACAUGUCUUUGAUAAGACCAAACUCCAUAAACUUGCUCUUCAAUCGAUCUUUCUCUCUGGUUACUCUUAAUCUUAGAGAGACAAUCUUAAGUGGAAAAUUGAAAAAGAGCAUUCUUUGUUUACCAAGUAUUCAAGAGCUAGAUAUGUCAUAUAAUGACCACCUUGAAGGCCAACUUCCAGAAUUGAGCUGUAGUACUUCUCUCAUUACUUUGGAUCUCUCAGGUUGUGGAUUCCAAGGGUCAAUUCCUCUGUCUUUUUCUAACCUUACACGUCUUGCCUCCCUACGUCUGUCAGGGAACCACCUAAACGGUUCAAUUCCAUCCACAAUUUUAACCUUUUCACAUCUUACCUUUCUGUAUCUCGAUGACAAUGUACUCAAUGGUCAAAUCCCGGAUUCUUUUCAUCUGUCAAACAAAUUUCAAAUAAUAGAUUUGAGUGGUAACAAGAUUGGAGGUGAACUACCAACAUCACUUUCAAACCUUCGACAUCUCAUUAACUUGGAUCUUUCAUACAAUUCAUUAAGCGGUCAAAUUCCAGAUGUAUUUGGCGGGAUGACCAAACUGCAAGAACUCCGUCUAUAUUCAAACAAUUUAGUAGGACAAAUUCCACUUUCCUUAUUUAAGUUGACUCAACUUGUUAGAUUCGAUUGUUCAUAUAAUAAAUUAAGAGGUCCAUUGCCAAAUAAAAUUACAGGUUUUCAACAGCUAGUUCGUUUUCGUUUAAAUGACAACCGUCUAAACGGAACAAUUCCUUCCUCUUUGUUAUCUUUGCCUCGUUUGCUAAAUUUAUAUCUAUCAAACAAUCAACUUACAGGGCAUAUCAGUGCAAUCUCGUCCUAUUCGUUAGAGGCUCUAAAUCUAGGCGGUAACAAGCUACAAGGCAAUAUUCCAGAAUCAAUUUUCAACCUUGUAAAUUUAGCUGUAUUAGAUCUAUCAUCAAACAACUUGAGUGGUGUUGUCAAUUUUCAACACUUUGGCAAACUUCAAAAUUUGUAUUCUUUGUCCCUUUCACAGAAUACACAAUUAUCACUAACCUUUGAAUCCAAUGUCAGUUACAAUUUUUCUCAUCUAAGGGAAUUGGAUUUGUCUUCUAUCAACUUGACAAACUUUCCCAUAUUAUCAGAAAAAUUCCUAAGUUUGGAUUAUUUUGAUUUGUCCAAUAACAAUCUUAAUGGAAGGGUGCCAAAUUGGUUGUUUGAAACAGCAGAAUCUUUGAACCUCUCUCAAAAUUGCUUCACUUCAAUAGACCAAAUCUCAAGGAAUGUUGAUCAGCUUGGUAGUCUUGAUCUUAGUUCUAACUUACUGGAAGGUGAUAUCUCUUUGUCGAUUUGCAGUAUGAAAUCACUUCGAUUUCUCAACUUGGCGCACAACAAAUUGACCGGUAUCAUUCCACAAUAUCUUGCUAAUUUAUCAUCCCUACAAGUCUUGGAUCUACAAAUGAAUAGAUUUUAUGGCGCUUUGCCAAGUAACUUCUCAAAGUACAGUGACCUUCGGAGUCUGAAUCUCAAUGGCAACCAUAUAGAAGGUCAUUUGCCUAAAUCUUUGUCCCACUGUAAAACGCUGGAGUUUCUAAACCUCGGCAGCAACAAAAUAGAAGACAAAUUUCCUGACUGGAUUCAAACUUUGCAAGAUUUGAAAGUGCUAGUUUUACGAGAUAAUAAGUUGCAUGGUCACAUUGCCAAUUUAAAGAUCAAGAAUCCAUUUCCCAGUUUAGUUAUUUUUGAUAUCUCGGGAAAUAACUUUAGUGGUCCGCUACCACCGAAAGACUAUUUCAAAAAGUAUGAAGCCAUGAAGGCUGUUACUCAAGUGGGAGAGAAUACCAGUUUGCUAUAUGUACAAGAUUCAGCAGGGUCCUAUGAUUCUGUGACUGUGGCAAACAAAGGGAUCAAUAUGACAUUGGUAAAAAUUCCAAUAAACUUUGUAAGUAUUGAUUUCUCAAGAAACAAGUUUAAUGGAGGAAUUCCAAAUGAUAUAGGAGAACUUCACGCACUCAAAGGGCUUAACCUUUCACAUAACAGACUCACUGGUCCUAUUCCUCAAUCCAUACAAAACUUGACAAACUUGGAAUCGUUGGAUCUCUCGUCAAAUAUGCUCACUGGUAUGAUUCCUGCAGAAUUAACCAAUUUGAACAGUCUUGAAGUCUUGGAUCUUUCCAAUAACCAUCUUGUGGGAGAAAUACCUCAAGGAAAGCAAUUCAAUACAUUUACAAAUGAUUCUUAUAAAGGGAACUUGGGGUUAUGUGGAUUACCCUUGUCAAAGAAAUGUGGACCGGAACAACAUUCUCCACCUUCAGCCAACAACUUUUGGAGUGAAGAGAAAUUUGGCUUUGGAUGGAAACCAGUGGCAAUUGGUUAUGGAUGUGGAUUUGUGUUUGGAAUAGGCCUUGGAUAUUAUAUGUUUUUAAUUGGAAAGCCUAGAUGGUUUGUGAUGAUAUUUGGUGGUCAUCCUAAGAGAAGAGUGAAUAGGAGAACAUAAGUGAGGAGAAACAAUGGUCCAACCAUGAAUCAGAUGGUGCAAAUGUCAUAGUUUUAUUAUUCUGGUUAUUUUCUCUAUUGUGUGUGUUAGUUUUUACUCUGUUUAAAAUAAGUUUUGGUGUGAGUGUAACAAUCUAGUCUUUUUUAUUUGAUCUAGCUAGUUUGAUUUUUACUUAACUUAUAUGUGUAUGCAUCAACAUGUGUUAUAUAAUAAAAUUCCAAGUUUAUUUUUAUGUUUGCAUCUAGCUACUGUCUGAAUGUCUGUGAGCCUAUUGUUCUUUUGGUGGAUGCUCACCAGAUACAAACACGCGCACGCGCGCACAUUACUACACUACAUAACAUUGUUUAUAACUCAGAUUUGAAGAAGUUUUUGAGCCAGAAAGUGUGGUAAGAACUCCUGGAUUACCCGCAGUCACCUCAGAGUCGUAAAAUGCAAUGUUGGAUCACUGAAACUGGUUUCCUAUUUUGCCAUGCAUUUUUGUUUCCUGGCUAAUCCGUAGCAGUAAUAAGAUGAUAUUUUGACACUGUUGUGCUCUUUAUCAAUAAUUAAUUAUAUAUUUGAUGUCAAGAAUUCUAACAUAAUUUUUGAGUAAUAUGUAUGUGGUUCAGAAUGGCAAUGUAUUUUGUUUACCCGACACCACAAGAUUGGUUGAUUGUAUUCUAAGCAUCAUGGUCGAUUAAUUCAUAUUUUUAUAACCUUUUUUUCUUUGCCUUUUUAUUUUGCUUCUUUUCAUCUAAUCUUAUUAGUACAAAAUUGAGUUUUGCAAGUACACAAACAGAAAGACUUUGUUAAUUAAUCUUCUCUUCUUUUGGUGGUUUAAAUCUAAAUUUGUUGUCUUUAGUAUCCGUUGCGAAGAAGAUUUCUUUCUUAGACUUGGCUGAGUUUUGAUGAUAACAAACUCACAUCACAAAAGAAGAAAACUAUGGAGGCACAAGAUGAAGAUUAAGAAUGAAGAUUAGUGCAUAAACUUCUGGGUUAUACUCUUUGUAAGUAUGGCACUUUAUCUUUUGAUUUAUCAUUCUUAACUUAUGGAAUAAUUUAGAAUGCUCAGAAAAUAAUUACAAACAUUUUUUCUAAGUCCGCAUAUGAAGCAAUGCCUAAUAUCUCUUGAAAAUAAAUCACACACUUACAAUGGUAUUUAUUUAAAAGUGAUUUUGCAUGAAAAGCCAUUAUUAACAAUGAAAACUGCAUAACUGUUUUCUACAUUCAAAAAUAUAUUUUUCAUGUUAUCAUACUCAAUUAUGAUUUGUAAAUGUGUGCACAUCAUGGGGCAACACAAUUUUCUUUCUCAAGUACAAAUCAAUUUUAACAUAGUAAAUUUGAUUUCAAUGUGCUAAUUGCAUCAAGUGUCAAAACGGCUAUUUUUUUUUCCAUUGAAGGAUUAACGGCUAAUUUUCUUUUAAAGCACGUCAUUGCCAUAUUUGUUUAAAUACAUAUGAUACUCAUUUUUAAGAAUAGGUUUCUUUUCAAAUAUGUUUCUAUUCAUUUGGUAAUUCUUUUUUGAAACUUUUUAGCCUACACUUUAACUUUUAUUAAAAAGUUUUCUGAGCACUAAGUCCAUUUGUUAGAGUGAUACUGAUAAAGAUAUACACCCAUAUAUUUGCUAUUCUUCAACUACUUUGUUAUAAAGUUUCUUGCCAUUGUUGGUGAGAAUUAUUGUUUAAGAUAGUGGGGGUGUUGUCUUGUGAUUAUUGUAAAAGGUUCUUUGAUUCGGGAAAAUUCAAAGUCCACCAAACAUGUUUGGUGUUUGUGUUGUAAUCAAGAGAGAGGGUUUUUUUCUUGUGUUUAUGUUAGAAAGAUUGUUAGGGGGGUCUUGAGGUGAGAUUGCUUGCAACAAAGAUUCUAACAUAGUGAAUUUCUUCGCGGGGUGUGAAAGGAGUGGACUGACCCUUAGGUUUAGAGGGGAACCAGUGCAUUUUCUUCUACCCUUACUUUUUAUUUUUCCGCAUUCAUAUUAAGUUUCCGGAAAAAUUAUCAAGAACGCUAAACUUGCAAAAAUUAACCAAUAUUCCUAGGUUACAAACUGAACUUACAUCCGUUUCAUAAUUGAUGCCAAAACCCUUUCUUAUGUUUAGGAAUUGACUAACGUUUUUAUGUUUUGUUGAACUUUUGGCUUUCUUCUCAGACACGUCUUGUGCUGGGAAAAUAGUCUGCUGGUAGUAAUAUUUCUCAUUUUGUUGUUUUUCCCGUAUUCGUCUCAUAAUUGGUGUCAAAACCCUUUCUUAUGUUUGGGAAUUGGUUAAUGUUUUUAUGUUUUGUUGCACUUUUGCUGUAACUUUUGUCUUUCUUCUCAGACACGUCUUGUGCUGGGAAGAUAGUUUGUUGGUAGUAAUAUAUCUCAUUAUGUCCUCUUAAAAAAGCAUCAUUGUUCAGUUAUACGAAUCAUAUAUUGACUCAAUAUGCGAUCCUCUAAGACCCAUGUAUUUAUUUAUUAUUUAUUAGACUGGAGUAAGAGUCAACUUUUCGUCAAUAGAUUGUUACACCCUUCACCUAACAUUUCAUUUGUUGUGGGGUUUCGUCGCCUAAACCUUAAUCGCCUAACAUGCUAACUAUUUUUACGCGCAAAGAAAUAUUUUUGAGCAUGCCUAAAAAAAAAAAUUUGACCAAAAUUUUUAAUUUUUAUAAAAUCUUUUAUUUAUUACAAAUAUAAAAAGUUUCAAAAAAUAAAGGGUUAAUUGUUUAAAUUGAAUAUAUAAUAUACGCAAAGUCUAAAAAAUAACCAUGCAUUUUAAGAUUUUACUUAUUUUUUACUUCUUAUGUUUCUCUCUAGAAAUAAAUUCUAGAACAGUGAUCUAGAGGUGGAAUUUUUUCAUAAUUUUUUGUAGGCAUGUUUAUGAUGUUAAAAUAUGAUUUUUCAUGUAAAAUUAAAAAUUUCUGAGUAGAGACGAAUUAAUUAUGAAUUUUCAUAGUGAAAAAACUUAAAAAAAAAAACAACGGAACCUAAAAAUCGAAUUAUGAGUUGAUUUUUUUUUUACACAAAAAUAAAAUAUAUAGAGAGGAUUUGCAAAAACCUGCAAAAUUUAAAUUUUGAAAUUCAGCAAAAUCAUAUGCAAAAUCGAAUUUGGAUUUUUCAACAAAGACAUGUAAAAUUGCAAUUUUUUAUUUUAUUUAACAAAUUCAAAUUAAGGUGGAACGAAAAUGCAAUUAAUCAUGUAAACAAAUUAAUAAAAAGAACACAUAGAAAAAAUAAUAAUAAAAGAGAUCUGUUAAAGGAAAGAUAAUAAUUAAUAAAGAACGGUUAUCAAUCAUAAUCAUUCCUAUAGAUCUAUAAAUAUAGAAUGCAUUUGAAACUUAUAAAACAUGAAAUGCUCCUCUUGUUUCUUUGUCAGAUGUGGGACUAUCUUCAUGGUUUUAAGUUUAAAAGGAAUUAAUUUCACCAAAUCAGACGUGUUCAUCAGUAGAAACAUCAAUUUUGCAGCUCGGGAAGAUCUUUCCAGAAUUCUAGGAGUCCGUCAUGUGUUAGGUACGGGUACAUAUUUGGGACUACCUAUAUGAUUGGUAGAAGUAAAAAAACAAUCUUCUCUUACAUCAAGGGCCGUAUUUGAAAGAAGAUAAAUUCAUGGAGAUGCCGCUCAGUAACAAAAGCAAGGAAGAAGGUGAUGAUUAAGUUCGUUUUACAAGCCACUUUAUCUUAUAUUAUGAGCACUUACAUCAUUCUGACCACUAUUUUUAUAAAUGAUAUUGAAAGAAUGCUAAAUUCAUUUUGGUGGGGAGGUGGUUCUAAUAACAAAGGGAUUCGUUGGAUGAUGUGGGAUAGAUUAUCAUGUCCUAAAUGGCAAAAUCAGAAGGUGGUAUGAUCUUUUUUGAAAUUCCAAGCUUUCAACAUGUUUAUGGUGGCAACGUAAGGGUGGCGUAUCUUGCAGAAACUGGACUCUUUGGUGGCAAAAAUUCUCAAAUCAAUAUACUUUCUCCACACAUAUUUUCUUGAAGCUGACAUUAGUACUAUGACAUAUCCAGGGAAGAAAGACCAAGGGAAGGUUUGAUUAAGUAUAACGUUAAUGCGACCUUCAUUGGAACUUUUUCUUGCUCAAACAAACUGGAAAUCUGUGAGAUGUCAACAAUCAAAGGGGAAGCAAAAACGCUUCUUGAAGCAAUUCAAAUGGCCAUCAACAAAGGGCUCGAGAGAGUAGUGUUUGAACGCGACUCACAAGUAGUACUAAACUCUAUUAAUUCUAGUUCACAAGGUGAUUCAAUGUUUAGUUCAAUUAUCUAUAGUAUUAUUAAUAGUCUGUCUUUGCAUUCUAACUUUGAGGUGAAGUUUGUUAGACAACAAACAAAGAUGAUUGCUCUACCUUGACAAUGGCGGCCCUUUUUUAGACUAAUUGCGAGUUGCCGUAUUGUUGAGAUUAUGUCUUUUCAAUUAAUGAUACAAGUUAAGUUUGCUUUGGUAAAAAAGUAAAAAAUACUUUAGCUUGCUAACUUCACCGACUAAAAAAUGAGUAUGAAUAAAUUAGCAAGUCCCAAUAAAACAUGCAUGGAAUAGGGAAAAAUCAGUUCUACUUAACAUUCAAUUAUAAGAUAUUUUAUUUAUUUUUUAAAUAAAGAAUGUUACCUCUUUUAUAUAAGAAAAUGACAGUAAGUUAUCUUUUUUUUUCAUUAUUUGGUUUUUAGUUUGUACAAGUCUGUAUAUAACUGACAAAAUGAUAUCACUGUAUAUAUAAAAUUAGAAAAAUGUUUUUAUGAAUAUUAAUUUUGUUAUGGUUUUUUAUUCUUUUAAAAUGAUAAAAAAAUUAAUAUAGAGUGAACAAUUAUAGGGGCUUCUGUUAGGUACCUAAAAGUAAACAAUCUCUGCAAAGUCAAGGCAGAAGUAUUCUAUGUCCCAAACAAAGAAAGUUCAAUGCAGAUUAUUCUCACUUUUCACAAAGUCCUAACCGUGUUUUCCAACACUUGCUUAAGUUGACUAUGACCUUAUAGAGUCAAUCCAAACAACUUAUAUUGGUUUGGUUUUUCAUUCUUUAGCUAUACUAACUACUUUCCACAAAAUUAUCCAUGGAGAAGUGCUUGCUUCUGUCUUUAAUUCUUUUGUUCUUCCAUUUUCCAUCAUUCUCUUCUUCAUCUUCUUUCAACUCCUCCUUAUGUCAUCAUGAUGAGAGCUUUGCUUUGCUUCAGUUCAAGUCCUCCUUCACUAUAGAUACUCCUUGUGUUAAAUCUCCUAUGAAAACAGCAACAUGGAAAAAUGGGACUGAUUGCUGCUCAUGGCAUGGUGUCACGUGUGACACCGUAUCUGGUCACGUCAUUGGCCUUAACCUUGGUUGUGAAGGCUUUCAAGGUAUACUCCAUCCUAAUAGUACCCUUUUCAAUAUUGUUCAUCUCCAAACACUCAACCUUUCUAACAAUGGUUUCUAUGGUUCCUAUUUUGAUUCUAAGUUUGGCAGGUUUACGAGUCUUAC